AUGCUCGCUUUGGCAGCACAUAUACUAAAAUUGGAAUGAUGCUGAGAAGAUUAUCAUGGCUCUUGCACAAGGAUGACAUGCAAAUUCCUGUAGCAUUCCAUAUUUAU
ensembl:snRNA U6 U6 spliceosomal RNA